rnacentral:rRNA from 1 species
UACGUAGGGGGCAAGCGUUGUCCGGAAUCAUUGGGCGUAAAGCGAGCGUAGGCGUCCCGAUAAGUCUGCUGUAAAAGUCAACGGCUCAACCGUUGAAAGCCGGUGGAUACUGUCGGGCUAGAGUUCGGAAGAGGCAAGUGGAAUUCCUGGUGUAGCGGUGGAAUGCGCAGAUAUCAGGAGGAACACCUAUAGCGAAGGCAGCUUGCUGGGACGAUACUGACGCUAAGGCUCGAAAGCGUGGGGAGCGAACAGG